AUCAAAGCAGAGUACUGGGGUUUUUUUUUUGUUUUUGUUUUUUCAUUUCCAACUAUAUAUUUAGCCCAUUGGCCGCUCAAUGUGCACUAGAUGGGAGUGUGUGUGUAGGUAUGAGACCUUUCCUUGAUCUGUUUGUUGUGUAGCCAAAACAUAGAUCCUCCUCCAAAGGUAUUUGUUCUCAGUAUGCUUAAAAAAGACAGCAUUACUUGCUGCCCCUGCAAGAUGACCUAAAGCAAGCACACACAGCAUUACAGCUUUAAUCCAAGACUUUCAAAAUUUUUUUUCUCAACUCCUAUCCCAAAUUCUUACUACAAGGCCUACACCAUAAUUCUUACACAUUUUAACAUUUUGUGUGGUGAUGUCUUAAAAAUGUCAUGUCAUAAUAUGAGGAUAAGAUCAAGGUGAAUUCAUGUUCACCAGUCCAGUGAAUGAGCUGGUAAAGGCAGAAAAAACAAACAGGAAACAGCAGCUUUUGAGGAGGCAGACACCUGCCACAGGAACAGGAAGAACUGAAACUAUGCAAAUGACCCCCCAGCUUCUGUGCUCUGGUUACUGGGACACUGACAC